GGCAUUAUGUUGAAGAUUUCUGGUGAAGUAGAAAGCACAUGAAUCUUACUGUUCAAUCACCCACUUCCCACAUGCAACAUUAGCUCAUGAGCACCACAGAUAACUUUGCCAAAGUUCUCUGACAAAGUUGAGACACGUGAAGCUUGCAGCUCCCACUACACCGCUCUGACCAAGAAGGGUAAAAGAAUAGCAAAGAAACAGCAC
rnacentral:lncRNA from 1 species